UUGCUCAAAUUAUUGGGAAGCCAGACCUAGCCCCAGUUGCAUGGGUGAGAAAGCUUGUUACUCUGUGUGAUCAAGCCCCUGCAACACCAUUUGAUGCUGUUCAACUUGUUUUAGAGAAGGAGUUGGGUCGAAGUAUAGGCGAGGUUUUUGAAAAGUUUGAUGUAAAUCCUCUUGGUUCAGCUUCAAUUGCGCUGGUUUAUCGAGCAAGACUCAAAAGUGAUGUGGAAGAUGUUGUUGUGAAGGUGCAACAUCCUGGAGUCCAAGAUCUGAUGAUAACUGGCA